UACGUAGGGUGCAAGCGUUAAUCGGAAUUACUGGGCGUAAAGCGUGCGCAGGCGGUGAUGUAAGACAGAUGUGAAAUCCCCGGGCUCAACCUGGGAACUGCAUUUGUGACUGCAUCGCUGGAGUGCGGCAGAGGGGGAUGGAAUUCCGCGUGUAGCAGUGAAAUGCGUAGAUAUGCGGAGGAACACCGAUGGCGAAGGCAAUCCCCUCGGGCCUGCACUGACGCUCAUGCAC
rnacentral:rRNA from 1 species